rnacentral:rRNA from 1 species
UACGUAGGGGGCAAGCGUUGUCCGGAUUUAUUGGGCGUAAAGAGCGUGUGGGCGGCUUGGUAGGUCCGCUGUGAAAACUCGAGGCUCAACCUCGAGAUGUCGGCGGAAACCGCUUGGCUAGAGUCCGGAAGAGGAGAGUGGAAUUCCCGGUGUAGCGGUGAAAUGCGCAGAUAUCGGGAAGAACACCUAUGGCGAAGGCAGCUCUCUGGGACGGUACUGACGCUGAGACGCGAAAGCGUGGGGAGCGAACAGG